UUUGAUGCAGCUCCAUG
rnacentral:piRNA from 1 species